GGGCCAUUAAGUCAUGUAUACUUUUGACUGUCAUUUCAAAGCAUUUGAAUAUUAUAUAAACCACAAUGGGAAAUCAUUGGAAGACUAACUGAAUUAAAUAUCACCUGAUAAAGAAGGAUCAUUGGUAAAUUGCAGUUUUCCACUGAAUCAUUUGGAAGGUGAAAGAAAGAGUAUCCUAGCCUCUUUUCAAGUAUUGGCUUCAUUAAUGGGAGAUGGGGAAGUUCAGAAAGCAGUGACUGAAGUUGACUUCACCACCUGAUAUGAAAACAUUUCUUUCACCCAAAUGGAUCUGCCGCUGCCUUGUGAUACUGGAGUGGAUUUAUGGCAAUGCACCUCUGUUCUUUUUCACUAUUGGUGAAGAACACAAUCACUUUUCCUUUGAAC